GGUACCCUACGGGGCGCAGCAGUGGGGAAUAUUGCACAAUGGGGGAAACCCUGAUGCAGCGACGCCGCGUGAGCGAAGAAGUAUUUCGGUAUGUAAAGCUCUAUCAGCAGGGAAGAAAAUGACGGUACCUGAGUAAGAAGCUCCGGCUAAAUACGUGCCAGCAGCCGCGGUAAUACGUAUGGAGCAAGCGUUAUCCGGAUUUACUGGGCGUAAAGGGAGCGUAGGCGGGGAUGCAAGUUGGGUGUCAAAACUACCGGCUCAACUGGGAGUCGCACUCAAA
rnacentral:rRNA from 1 species